ACCGAGUCAGCAUCUGAGAAAAAAAAAUAGAAACUCCUCAUAGUCUCUCUCUUCAUCAAAGGAUAGUAAUAAUAGCUGACUUCACAUGAUCAAGAAAUACUAACUACAGCAAAAACUUCACAGAUGUUUUCACCAGAACUGAUACAGUAGGGUUCACAGUACGGUUAUUUACUGCAGAUUUAAAAAAAAAACCUGUGUUGAUUGACAGUGAUUUAAAUGAAAAGAUUAAUCACUACAUUUUGUAAAGUAACCAUUGACUUCUCUUAAAGGAACAGGUGUCGGUCUGCUGGUCCGCCUGGAUGAACAAGUUGCACUUUUCUAAUCAGAUUACAGCGAUGAGGCCGAGGAAGACAUUUGAUCCAAACAAACUCAAAUGCCCUUACUUCCUGAUUCUCUCUCACUGUGAGUGAGUGAGUGCAUGUGUGGAAGAGAGAGAGACCAGGACAGUCAGCUAGCCUCAAAGCCAAGACUCUAAUUUCCCCGACAGGUGAAUUUAUUCAAAUUUCUUCAUGAAAGGCAGCACUGAUGUGAUUUUGGUGAUUUGAUUUUCUUGCUUUGACAAAUCUAACGUGACAUUUCCAUUUGCAGUGAGCCUCUCUCCACAGCACGUGAAUUUUCUAAGAAAAAACUCAACUUUUUUUUAAACAUUAAAAGAAAGGUGACUAUUUUUGUAAACAUCUCUCUGUGUGUCUUGGGUUCUGGAAGGUCUCACUGGACCGACACCUGCAGAGCCGACCCACUGACGUGCACGGGGAUUAACCCUGGUAAAGAAUUAAUAUUGUCUCUGUCGAUCAGUCAUAUGUCACCAAGCAGCUCAACAACAUCUAACCCUUAUUUUAAUUUGGUUUAUCUGGUUCUUCUUGAUCCAUAGAAGGCAGUAAAAGAACACAAAGAGACAUUUAAAGGUCAAACUUAUUCCUUUAACUGAUCUAAUGAGCUGUCAAUCACACGCUGCAUCAGUUUACAAACUGUCUUUUUAGACCAGGAGAUCUGAAAACUGAAAAAAAAAAGUACUAGUAUCUUCUACUCAUGACUUCACUCUGUCAACAUCUUUUUACAGGUCCUGCCAUUGAAAUUCAAUUCCGACGCCUUUUUGCCAAGACUUGAGACCGGACUUGACUUCACGCCUAUUUUUCCUGGACUUUCCUGGUGAUUCAUCUCUGUCUUAAAACCCAAACUUU